GCCCGCCUAGCUCAAUCGGAUAGAGCGUCAGACUCUUAUCCCCUGUUCGAAUAGGCGAUCUGAAGGCUGCGAGUUCGACCCUCGCGGUGGGCU
rfam:Cylindrobasidium torrendii FP15055 ss-10 unplaced genomic scaffold CYLTOscaffold_34, whole genome shotgun sequence.